rnacentral:rRNA from 1 species
GAUGAACGCUGACAGAAUGCUUAACACAUGCAAGUCGAUUCGAUUUACCUUCGGGUAUUGAGGAUGGCGGACGGGUGAGUAACGCGUAAGGAACUUGCCUCUUGGUCUGGGACAACUGUUGGAAACGACAGCUAAUACCGGAUAUUAUGAGAUUCUCGCAUGGGAAACUUAUGAAAGCUAUAUGCGCCAAGAGAGAGCCGUGCGUUCCAUUAGCUAGUUGGUGGGGUAAUGGCCCACCAAGGCGACGAUGGAUAGCCGGCCUGAGAGGGUGAACGGCCACAAGGGGACUGAGACACGGCCCUUACUCCUACGGGAGGCAGCAGUGGGGAAUAUUGGACAAUGGGCCACAAGCCUGAUCCAGCAAUUCUGUGUGCACGAUGAAGGUCUUCGGAUUGUAAAGUGCUUUCAGUUGGGAAGAAGAAAGUGACGGUACCAACAGAAGAAGCGACGGCUAAAUACGUGCCAGCAGCCGCGGUAAUACGUAUGUCGCAAGCGUUAUCCGGAUUUAUUGGGCGUAAAGCGCGUCUAGGCGGAAAAAUAAGUCUGAUGUUAAAAUGCGGGGCUCAACUCCGUAUUGCGUUGGAAACUGUUUUUCUAGAGUACUGGAGAGGUGGGCGGAACUACAAGUGUAGAGGUGAAAUUCGUANAUAUUUGUAGGAAUGCC